UCAAAGCAGGAUCUCCUUUAUUGAGAAAACGCACACAGCUAAUAUAAUGUACAGGAGCCAAUCAGGAUAAAGGUCAGCAGGGUGGGGAGAAUUUACAUCUACACCCAUCCUAGUGGCAGUAACGGGAGACAGGAGCUGUCUGUGAAGGCAGAAGGGUUCUGAGCCUAUCCUAGAGGUGGUCCAAUUCUUCAUCACAACCCACGGCAAUGCCUUCUGGCUAACUGCUAGGUACUCUCUUAGCCACAGGUGGCCCCAGGACUGGGAAGCGGGUGCAGCCAGCAAGUUUCCUUCAGUUUGCAGUCUGGUGUGCUGCUCUUGUCGAUAUUGAAAGAUUCAAGUCUUAAAGGGGAAAGGAGACCUACCUCAGCCCUCUUUCCCCACCCAACACUCUCCCAGGCUCCAGAUGGAGGAAACUUCACCUCAGAAUGCCACAGAGCAACACGCACAAAGUUGGAAACCACAAUCAGAGGAACAUCCAAGGAGGACAUGCAAGAGGAAAGGUGUGGCCAACCCAAUCUUCCAUUUCUCUCUCUGAAAGAGAUGCUCCAUCAGCAGAGGAGAUGGGCUUCCAGUAGACCAAGAGCUCCUCAGGAGGAUGUAGAUCUGCUCCCAGCACCAGAGUUCUCAGUGCUUCCAUAGUUGCUCAGCUCAUAAAAAGUCAAUUCAUAUUUGCUGAAAGCUGAAUGAGUGGCUGACUAGAAGGAUACACAAAUGAAGGUUCAAAUCCUAAGCUGUUCUGGAAAACUCACCUAAGAGAAGGUAAUACAUGUACAUUAUUCCAGAGUGGAGAAAUCUCAUUCCCACAUGUCUCCAGGCUGGUCCCAAACUCCUGAGCUCAAGUGAUCCUCCCACCUCAGCAUUACAAAUUCCCUCCUGCUCCCAAAGAGAAACAGCUGAUGGAAGAGGAGGCAUGAGAGCAUCUUGGAGGAAGAACAGCCCAACUGGCUGCCUGGAGCAUCACCUCUGGGCUGUCAUCCCUCGCUAAGGGGUUGUACCAGCCACAUACCAAGGGCAUUCACUGAGGCCAUGUGCUGGGCCAGGAGGAGAAGAUAUCUGAUGUGGACUCUUCAAAAGAUAUUAUGGCUUGAAUAGUUUUGUUAGCUAUCUUCCCACUCUUUAACAGGGUUGCCUUCUGAACUUCACCAGCAUUUGCCCUCAUUCCUCUGCCCUAUAUUGCAUUUAAAUCCCAAAGCAUCACUUCUCUACAAUCCUCAAUAUCCUCCUUAAAUUGGAAGUAAAUCUCUCUCUCUCUCUCUUUCUCUCUCUCUCUCUCUCUCUCCUGUAAAGUGAACUCAGGGGUGCUUAACCACUGAGUAACAUCCCCAGGCAUUUUUAUACUUUAUUUAGAGACAGGGUCUCACUGAGUUACUUAGAGCCUCUCUAAGUUGCUGAGGCUAAAUUUGCUAAGUCACUGAACUUGAGAUCCUCCUGCCUCAGCCUCCCAAGCCACAGGGAUUAUAAGCAUGCACCCCCAUGCUCAGCUCUUUUUUUUUUCUCUUUUUAAAAUAGUAAAUGGUUACCUGCAAUAUAAAGUCCAUUUUUUAAAGAUAGAACUGAAGCACUUUAUUAACAGUGUUGUGAAAUACCAUGUUAUGAUUUAAAGCCAGACAAGCCAUUAUUUGUAAUCCUCUAACACAUUGUAAGCUUUCAACCCAAUUGUGGGAUUAGCCUAGCCAAACUUUGGGGCAGAAUAGACAAUAGUGAUACCAAAGUACUUUGAGUAGAUGCUCAAGUCGAUUUGCAUCAGUCCUAGAGACAGCCAUGGGGGAGGAAGAAAGAACUGCCAACAAAAAUUCAGGCACUACAAAAGAAACCUCAUAAUUUCCUACUUAAUUGUUACACAGGAUGUUUAAGCUCUUGGGUGAUCUUUGGCCCAGAUAUCCAAGGCAUUUUGCUGUCAGGGUUGCUUUUCAUGAAACUGGCAAUUUUACAUUCUGAUUUCUACAGAUCUUCACUUCAGUGAGUUCCCUUGAGCCAAGAUCUUUCAUCAUCAGGUGGCCUCUGCCUAAAGGAGAUAUAAUUUUUCCAGUCUUGAGACAGACGGUCUUUUGAAAGACCAUAGUCUCAGCACAAAAAGCAAAGAAUGGGGACACAAAGCUCACAUUUUUCAGCUUAGCCAGCACCUUGCUGUGUGUCUGCCCCUGUGCUUGGCUUCAAGACCCAGGGGGAAGCCUGUGGAGCAAAACCAGCUACUGAAUGAGGUGCCCUGGG